GAGGUACUCUAGGGAUAACAGCGUUAUAAUUAAUAAAGUUCAUAUUGAAUUAAUUGUUUGCGACCUCGAUGUUGAAUUGCGGAGUGCUGAUAGAGUAGAAAUUAUCAAGCUACGGGUCUGUUCGACCCUUUUUACCCGCACAUGAUUUGAGUUUAGACCGACGUAAGUCAGGUUGGUUUCUACCUAAAAAUUCUUAGAAAUCUCUUUAGUACGAAAGGAAUAAGGG
rnacentral:rRNA from 1 species